rnacentral:rRNA from 1 species
GACGAACGCUGGCGGCGUGCUUAACACAUGCAAGUCGAACGGAAAGGCCCUGCUUUUGUGGGGUGCUCGAGUGGCGAACGGGUGAGUAACACGUGAGUAACCUGCCCUUGACUUUGGGAUAACUUCAGGAAACUGGGGCUAAUACCGGAUAGGAUCUCCUGCUGCAUGUUGGGGGUUGGAAAGUUUCGGCGGUUGGGGAUGGACUCGCGGCUUAUCAGCUUGUUGGUGGGGUAGUGGCUUACCAAGGCUUUGACGGGUAGCCGGCCUGAGAGGGUGACCGGCCACAUUGGGACUGAGAUACGGCCCAGACUCCUACGGGAGGCAGCAGUGGGGAAUAUUGCACAAUGGGCGGAAGCCUGAUGCAGCAACGCCGCGUGCGGGAUGACGGCCUUCGGGUUGUAAACCGCUUUCGCCUGUGACGAAGCGUGAGUGACGGUAAUGGGUAAAGAAGCACCGGCUAACUACGUG